AUUGAACGCUGGCGGCAUGCCUUACACAUGCAAGUCGAACGGCAGCACGGGUGCUUGCACCUGGUGGCGAGUGGCGAACGGGUGAGUAAUACAUCGGAACGUACCUUAUCGUGGGGGAUAACGCAGCGAAAGCUGUGCUAAUACCGCAUACGCCCUGAGGGGGAACGCGGGGGAUCGCAAGACCUCGCGCGAGUAGAGCGGCCGAUGCCUGAUUAGCGUGUUGGUGGGGUAAAAGCCCACCAAGGCGACGAUCAGUAGCUGGUCUGAGAGGACGAUCAGCCAUACUGGGACUGAGACACGGCCCAGACUACUACGGGAGGCAGCAGUGGGGAAUUUUGGACAAUGGGGGCAACCCUGAUCCAGCAAUGCCGCGUGAGUGAAGAAGGCCUUCGGGUUGUAAAGCUCUUUUGUCAGGGAAGAAACACCGGCUCUAACACAGUCCGGGAAUGACGGUACCUGAAGAAUAAGCACCGGCUAACUUCGUGCCAGCAGCCGCCGUAACAC
rnacentral:rRNA from 1 species